AACGAACGCUGGCGGCAUGCCUAACACAUGCAAGUCGAACGAGACCUUCGGGUCUAGUGGCGCACGGGUGCGUAACGCGUGGGAACCUGCCCUUAGGUUCGGAAUAACUCCCCGAAAGGGGUGCUAAUACCGGAUAAUGUCUUCGGACCAAGAUUUAUCGCCUUUGGAUGGGCCCGCGUUGGAUUAGCUAGUUGGUAGGGUAAAAGCCUACCAAGGCGACGAUCCAUAGCUGGUCUGAGAGGAUGAUCAGCCACACUGGGACUGAGACACGGCCCAGACUCCUACGGGAGGCAGCAGUGGGGAAUAUUGGACAAUGGGCGAAAGCCUGAUCCAGCAAUGCCGCGUGAGUGAUGAAGGCCUUAGGGUUGUAAAGCUCUUUUACCCGGGAUGAUAAUGACAGUACCGGGAGAAUAAGCUCCGGCUAACUCCGUG
rnacentral:rRNA from 1 species